ACAAUUCUAGAAGCAUAACUCUUUCACCUCCCUUAUUCCAAUUACAUGUAUGAUUUUCUUUCAAAUCUGUAGGAAGAUCAAUUGCUUCACCUUCUUUCAUUUCCUUAUAUGUUCAAGUUCUCCAGACUUGUUAAUGCCUUUUUCAGUUCUCUUCAUUUUCUCAACUGGGUAUUGCAACUUUCAGGUCACCUCCUUUUUUAAGUUUUGUCCAAAUCUUGUUCUUUUUUUUCGGGUUAAUCUUUACGAGGAAUUUAUUUUCCGGUCUGAUUUGACUUUUGUUGUUGGAGAGUUAGGCGUGAGGUAGAAGAGUUUAGGACAUAACUUGGAGUUCUUCGCCGACAACAAUGGUGCUCUUUUAUCAUGUAUGUGCUGCUCUUUAAAGGUACAGUCUCUGGGAACAUAUUUAUGAUAUGUACAGAGAUAAUAUUCUUUUUAGAGCAUUCUUUAAUUUUAGUAUACCUGUUUCUUAAAUGUCUUUGUCAUGAGUGUAUUAUGUGAGAUAUUUGAGGUUGUUUUACUUGAAUUUUCUCAAUAUUAUAAUCAUAUAUUUUCCGUAGUGCUAUAAUUCGAGGAAGUUGGAACAGAAUUGAUUCUAUAUUUCAGAUGAAUUCUUAGGGAUAAAAUUACACGAGUUGAUUGUGUGGAGAUGGAAUUUUACAGUCAUGCAAAUUACCUUUUUUUUUUUGCCUUUAUAUAUUUCGCCGUAUGUUCAGGGAAUGCUUGUGCAUUCCUCCCUUUUUCUGUUUGUUCUGCUUCAAACUUGGUGAUGAAAAACAUCCAGAAGCUUAUUGGAUUUCUAUUCCUAUUUUCUUUUUACUGGAUUGUUGUAAAAAAAAAGAUCAUCUUUAUGGUGAAGAUGAAGAUCCUCCUAUUACUUUCUUAAUAUUGCUCCAAGCGCAUUUAGAAGUACAAAGUUUAUUAAUAUAAUUAGAUCAUUGAUCACUGAUCCAUGGGAGAAUUACACCGAUCUAAUGGCUUUCAAUUAUGACAAAAGAUAUAAGAACCCAAGAGCUUAGUUCUCAGAAGAUAGAAUACUAAUAUCUGCUUCCGAUUAUGUUGGUUUGUGUUGCGUUUUAGGCAUGUGUGUAACAUUUGUUGGGUGGUGAAAAUAUUUUAAGUAAAAGUGAUGAGAGUUGUUUUAAUUAUGAAUUUAACUUUUAAAGGAGUGUAAUUAGUACGCUAAUUUUUAUAAAUAUGUUAAACUUAACACAACAUUGCUCCCUUUCUAGGGAAACAUGCUUCACAAACAUUUAAUGAGUUGUUUCUCCAUUUAUUUUCAGUUAGAUCAUGUGGUUGAUAGCGAACAAUCUUAGUUGAAGAUUAGAAUCUUUCUUUGCUACGAAGAUAGGUAUACUAUAGAAACCUAUGAUGGUCGACUAAGGGCAUAUUGGACUUUUCUAUUCUUUACUUAAGCUAGUAUGCGUUUCUUUUACCCUAUGCGGAAUUGUCACAUACCCCUCCUCUAUUUUGCUUUCUUUGUGGCUCUAAAAUCCUCUAGAGCUUUUUCAUUCAUCGCUUUCCCCUUUGCCUGAGUUUUAGCAUCUCUCUGCGCCUUUUUUUCCUCCAGUUAUAGUAGGAGCUAUGGAGAUACACGCUUUUUUAUUAUCCUUUACAUACACGCUUCUCCCUCUAUGGAAAUAUAGUUGCUCUUGGGACUGGGCUAUUGUUGCAGUUAUUUGCCGCUAUCCUUGCUUGGAGAUUUAUGGUGUUCCACUGCUUCUGAUUGGUGAGUCUUACUAUUCUAUCUCCUUUUCUUAUUUCUCCUUGAUUUUAAAGUUCAGUUCUGCAUUUGUAGUUUUGAUUCGGAUGACAUAGCCAAUUCUGAGCUAGAAGUGAAAGAUCAAUUACAAGCUAUUACAUAAUGUUCUUUUAAUUAUUGAAUUCUAUUCUUUAUUUUUUCAAUUAAUUUUUUCAUACUACUAUUUCAAAAAAAAAUGAAAAAUUAAGAUAUUUAGAAAUUCUAAGGAAAUUAAACGAAAAGGAAGAGAAGUCUUUAAUGGGCCAUUGAAAAAAUAAAAAGAUAGAAAGGAAGAAAACGAACCCAAACUCAGCAUCCAUUACCAUUAUAACGUGGAGUAUGGGUAUCAAGUUUCUUCAAUCCUUAUUCAACUAUCUUAUUCUCUUAUUAUCUACCUUCUUCUCGCGUGAUUUCUAUAUUUUUUGUCCAAAAACGUAAGCAAGUACAAAGAAAUUAAAUGAAUGAAUAGAAAAAGAAAAUUAAUAUUUUGGAAAGAGAAGAUUAACAACGUCAAAGGAACAUAUAGAUCUUUCUUUUCUCAGUCAGUAAAUGAAUUUUUAAGGCAAUAGCGGCAUCAACUCAGUAUACAGGAGAAAACCAUCUCUCAUGUGUGUACUAUAUGUGUAUUCCAAUUUUACUUCAACUAUUAGAGUACCUAUUGCAAUGUGUUAUUUUGUUUGUGCUAAAAGAAUGUAUAUUUAUAUUUGCAAACAUGCCUUUCAUUGAUCAUAAAGGCUCUUUGUGAGGCUUAGUCCCUUUGAUAAUUUUAUGUUUACCUAAUGAUGUCUGGUAUAUAUAUAUAGGAAUGGAUCAAAAUUUCUUGCUUCACGUAUUUAGCUUUCUUAACAUAAAAGGGUAUUGUUUCUAUUUUAUAAGCAGGAAAGUGAAUUUAUCAUCACAUCGUCUACUAAUAAAACACCUCCAAUUAUCUGUGAAAACUAAAUAAAAAGUAGUUAGAUGAUAAUAAAUCCAUGGCUAUGCUUUUUUUUUUUCUAAUAACUACAGUUAUUUGAUUCUUAGAAUUCCUUUGGAAUAAUGCUUAUUUUUCAAUUGGUAGCAUGAUUAUUUGUGAUUCAUUUAGUUUGCAUUGUUAAGUUAUUAAUGGUUUUCUCUGUUGUGUGUUUCUCCUAAUAUUGGUCAUCAUAUGUUGUUUUGCUGAGAGUUUUUUCAUUCAUAAGAAGUAUCAGUGUCUUGUUCCUGCUGCUCUUGUGAAAUAUCCUACAUAAUCCCCUUCUCUUGAAGUUUCAAUCUUUGAAAAUUGUCAGGUUCACAAUUACCUUGGCGGAACUUACUCACAAUUACCUUAGCGGAACUUGUUCAGGGCUCUAAUUGAAGCCAAUAUUUUUAUUAUGUUUCUUCUUGACUCUUGAGCUUGAAAGCUGUAGAGUGAGGAGAUAUAUCGUAAAGAUCUUGUCAGUUUGCAAUACAUACAUGUCGAGUCAAGGGUGCAGGCAUAAGUUGUAGUUAUGCAUGGUGAAAAUGUCAGUAGUUCGUUCCCUACCCACAAGCCGCAUCAGCUGAAAGAGAAGGGAGUUGAGUUGAUUUCAGCAGGUAUAGACGUAGAAGGGAAAAAAAAAGGGCACUCUCAAAGUUUAUAAAGUGAAACAUAUUGCCUUGGCUUACAUACAAUUGCACAAGAUCUGAUUGAAGGCGUCUUUUUACUUUAAUUAAGUUCAUGACUAACACACCCAUGUUGAGUGCCUUUUCAAGAUAACAUAAGAUUGAAGGAAACUUUUUCACAAUUUGGAGAUAUCAGCCGAUGUACGAUGUACGUAUUUGCCAUCGUGGGGUUUUUAUGUUUUGUCUUUGUUCUUUUGGCAUAACUGUACAUCUCAUGAAAUGUUCUUCUUCCUUAGUUGCAAUGUAAAGUAAAGCUGCAUUAGAAUCCAAAUCGUUGGGCCCGCAAGCGCGGGCAAGAGUCAUCUAGUAUUAUAUAGAAAAGCCAUGCUUGGUCGACCAAGGGUAGAAUUGUCAUUACUCUGUCAUUUUAUUUUUUUAUAUACGAUGCCACACUUUCAUCUUCUUUCUUAACUCUCUCACUUUCCCUUCAUCUUCUCAGUUUGGGGUUGUACCACAAUUUUUGCUUAAAUCUUCUUACACUUCUUUUCAAUUCAUCCUCCUCUCUCUUUCAAUCUUCUGUUCAUUACUUUUUUCAAUGGAUUUCUUCCUAUUUUGUCAACUUCUUGCUUGAAGUAUCUAUAUUCAUGGGUCUUCUACUUUGGGUGUUACAAGGUUCAGGUUAGUGUGUGAGCUAUUUUUUGUUUCAGUCUUUCUUCUAUUUUGUUUCAUUUUUUGUCUGCUAUUAUCCUUUGUUAGUGUUUGUUAUUUAUUUUGGAUUUUCUUUUGUGCAUUUUGUUUCUUCUUUGUAUCUCAUGUUUAAUUUUUGUCUUCAUAUGCAAAUUCUAUCAAUAUAAUACUUCUGCUUUCAUUUGUGGUCAAAGCGACUGGGUUAAAUUUUUAGUUAAAUUUGAUUUAAGUUUCUUUUCAUUUGGUUUUAUUGCUUUUGUCUUUUUGCCUCUUCUUGGUAGAAGAACACUACUAAUGGAACUGUUUAAUAUGGGACAUGUGGGUGCUACUACCUGAAACUUGAGUUAGUUUUAAUUGGGUUUUGUUAUAUUUUUAGGUAAAACUUUUUGUGCAACAAGUGUUUGAUGAAUUUAUUGAAAGAAAUUACUUUACAUUAAACUUCUAGAUUCUCCCUUAUCGAGGCUUGAGCUUUGAUAGAUCAUGGCUACACAUUUUGUGGGUUCAAAAGUAAUAUACUUUGUUUGACAGAGAACUUUCUAUCCUUAUGGUCUCUCCAUCGAGGAGUUAAUCACUUGCAAUUUACAUCACGUCUUCUUUCAUCGGAAAGAACCAUCUAGAAGAACUUUAUAUCUCUACCACAAAAUUCAGUCAUAUCUCAAAAAAUUGAAUAUAGCCUAUAGUCUAUCUUUCUUUCCUUUUUGUUAUAAUGGUGGUGAUAACACCUUCUCAUUUUUUCCAUUUUUCUCUAUUUAUUUAGAUGAACCGAAAAAUAUAAUGCAUUUUUUUCGCGUUGCGGGAAGACUUUACAAUGAUUAAUAAUUAUAGGAAGAUCACUCUACCACAUUGCUUUGUCCUCAUUUGAUAUUUUAUCAAAUUUAAUAACUACCGAAGCAAAACAAGAAUUAGAAAAUAUGUUAACUUUGUAUUAAACUUAAAACACAUAUCUUCUCUGAUCAUCAUAAUUCAUCUAACUCAUUUUCUAAAUGAGUUUAAUGGCAAUCGUUUAAUAUCAUUCCUCCUUUAUCUAACUUCUUUUCAAUUUUUGACUUUGCAGAGAAUGUUCAAGCUUUGUUCCCACUUUGAAUUUACCUUAUUGAAACAGGUUUGUACUCAAAAGAUAGAAAAAUAUUUACUUGCCAUGGUCAUGGACGACUCGACGCACCUCCUCCAUCAUUUUCAAAAAGGUUAUAAAUUAUCUAUCUUGGCCACGUAUUAUGUUUAUCUUUAUGAUGGUGAGGUCUAAAUCUCUGCACGUAAUUUGUUGGGUGUGCUUGCUUUUGUUCUUUAAUUUAAAGUUAAACUCUUUCUAAAUAGAUAAGUAUAACAUUCUUUUUGGGACGAGCUAAAAAAAAUAUAACACAUAAAUUGGGACAGAGAAAUUACGUUUUAUUUGUGAAUUACAACACAAUUACUCUAUACCCCACUGCACUAUUUUCAUGAGAUACUUUUGUUCGGUGAGUUUAUGCACUAAGAUUGAGUACAAACAGAGAAAGGAUGGUUUAGCAUGAUUAAUGUAGAGUUAUUUGUUAACUGUUAUAUGGUAUAACUUCGUUAUUCUUUUUGUUCAUUAAUCAUUGCAAAUUGGAUAUGUGUCGCAUGUUGAUGCCAAGGACAAACCAAAAAUUUGAGAAAGAAAAAUAUAUGACCUGGACUGAGUCCGUUUCAAAUACGCGGUGCUCUUGCGGACAGAAUAACACAAAAAAGUUAUUGAUGUUACUUGGUUUAUCAACCAUUUAGAUUCCAUGUUGAUUAACUUCUAAUCGGAAGGGUCAAGAUUAAGCAUUAUUUUGAGCUGACUAUAUCUCGAAGGACAUUUUUUAUUUGAUUACAUCUUUUGCGGUAUUUUUUGAAAUCUAAAUUAUUUUUAUUUGUUGAUUUUCUUAUAGACUGAUUAUUCAUCAAAUAGAAGUUUAAGGAAGUCAUCCUUUUAAAGAAGUCUGAUGACUCUGAUGACUGAGGUAUGUAUUGGGUCAUGAGCAACAACAACUUGAUGAGUAAAUAAAAUAAGUUUAUUUUUCUCGGAUUUUUUUGGUUUUCGGGUUUUUUUGAUUUUUUUUUCAUAAAGUUUUCAUAGCACAAAACGUAAAAGUAGAUUGUAGUAACGACGUCUUUGCUUUUAAAGACAUUGCUAGCGUGACUCAUACACUAGGAUAUAGUACUUUGCUUUUAAAGACAUUGCUAGCGUGACUCAUACACUAGGAUAUAGUACUCCAGAGUAAUUGAUUUGCAUAGAUACUUGGCUUGCGUCUAUGUUCUCUCUUUCUAGCUUAUUUUUGUAUGAUGAUAUAUUUCAAAUUCUUGGUGUGGGACUUGUAGUAGUAAAUAUUUUCUAUUAAGAAUAUUUAAUAUCUUAUUCUUUUCUCAGAAUAGGAGCAAGCUCUUAUGAUGGAGAUCAAGAAGAAUAUAAAAUAGCGGAUAUUUCCAGCAAUGUGCAAAUCCUUGCAAUACCAUAUAUGGCUCUUAACUUGACUACAUAAUUUUUAUUGUUCAUAGGUGGUAUAGCACUGAUAGCAACAUAAUACGUUUGGUUAAUCAUUUGGUAUAUAAUGAUAGGUAGGAAAUGAACAAUUAGUCAUAUGCUUGGAUUUGGUUUUGUAAAUGAUUUUAAAAGAAAAGCACAACAAAAUGAAAUAUUUGUUCGGUUCUACACACGCCGGCCCCUGGGGAGGUAAAUAUGCUUUUCUAUGUCUCACUAUUUACUGAGAACGAAACUGUCUUUUUGUUUGUGAU
rnacentral:lncRNA from 1 species